rnacentral:rRNA from 1 species
AGACAGCAGUAGCCACGGGAAUACAGAGGGUGCGAGCGUUAAUCGGAUUUACUGGGCGUAAAGCGUGCGUAGGCGGCUUUUUAAGUCGGAUGUGAAAUCCCUGAGCUUAACUUAGGAAUUGCAUUCGAUACUGGGAAGCUAGAGUAUGGGAGAGGAUGGUAGAAUUCCAGGUGUAGCGGUGAAAUGCGUAGAGAUCUGGAGGAAUACCGAUGGCGAAGGCAGCCAUCUGGCCUAAUACUGACGCUGAGGUACGAAAGCAUGGGGAGCAAACAGGAUUAGAUACCCCUGUAGUCCCUGUCUCUUAUAC